rnacentral:tRNA from 1 species
GCCCCGGUAGCUCAGUGGUAGAGCAACCGGCUGUUAACCGGGAGGUCGUGGGUUCGAAUCCCACCCGGGGCG